rnacentral:snRNA from 1 species
GGAUCUGAGGAUGAUCAGGCCAUGACAUCUGUCACUCCAUUGAUCACCAGGUUUGAUUCCACUGGUGCAACGGGCUAGGCAGGUGUCCCCUUCAUCCCUCACUGCUCCGCAUGUGUCCUUCCAGAACUUGGGUGCUUGUUCGAAGAGGAAAAGCUUUCCGUGCUAGAGGAGGAUCAGUUUUUGGUCAAAGGUUUACAAGUAGAUGCACUCCCCUGCUAGAUAUUCCAAACCAACUCUCAACGAUAUUCCUACAAAUAUUUAUUGAUAAUUCAUACCCUCUUUAAAAAGAAGUGUUUUCAGUCUAGCAGGAUCACACUUUUAAACCAGUGUCAUCAUAUGUACUUUUUAUUUUU